CCUGAGCCACGCUACUUUGUUCCGCUCGGCCCCAGCGUGCGGGUCCCGUGUGUGUCAGAGGAGGCAAAGAAGCUCACCCCCCAGCCGCCGCCAUGCCGCCGCUGCGCUCCCUGGUGGUGGUCCUGCUGCUCGCCGCCUCCCUCGCCCACUCUCUGCCUCAGGAUGGCCCAAGCCGAAACUCAGACUUUACGUUUGCGGACAAGACGAGGAUGCUGGCCAGCAGGGUGUCAGGCCGUGACCUGACGCGACCUCGGCGACAAUCUUCGUCAAGCAGGCUCGUGGACUACCAAGGAGGCUCAGGAAAGCUGGAGUACAAGGACGAGAGAGACAUGGACGAGCCUGGGACUGACUCGGUUAGAUUCACAUUAAAAAAAACGUGGAGUGGGUUGUCCUUGGGACGACUACCAUAUGUGUCUGAGUGGCCGUAUAAUUUGUGGUGUGCAUGUGUGCGACGCCAAGGUGGACUGUCCGGAUGGGGACGACGAGCAGGACUGUGCUGGACCCGCAUUUGAUAUAAGUGAAAGGAGUUGUCCUGGGACAACACAUACACGUGUGAGCGGCGAUACAAUUUGUAGAGUGAAUAUUUGCGACGGCAAUAAGGACUGUCCGGAUGGGGACGACGAGCAGGACUGUGAGUGCAGCGCCGACCAGUUCCUUUGUGAUAAAACCAAAUGCAUACCUAACACUUGGCUCUGUGAUGGCGACGAGGACUGUGAGGACAAGACAGACGAACAGGAUUGUUCAGCUACGUGUGCAUCGCCGAAGAAUUUCACCUGUAGUGACGGCACGUGUGCUGCAAGAUGUGACGGCAACUAUGAGUGUCUCGACAACGCUGAUGAAGAAAACUGUCCUUCUACCACUGCCACCACCUCCCCACCCCACCAUCACCACCACUACUCCUGCUUUUAAGUGCAGUAACGACGAGUUCCUUUGUGAUAACACCAAAUGCAUCCCGAAAGACUGGCUCUGUGAUGGCGACGAGGAUUGUGAGGACAAGACAGACGAACAGGACUGUUCAGGGUGUGGUGCGGGCCAGUGGCAGUGUAGAGACGGUGGCUGCAUCAGUGAAAAGGACCGCUGCGAUGGCUGCGUUCACUGCAGGGACGGCUCGGAUGAGGAAGGCUGUCGACCUAAGCGCUGCCGCCACUGGGAGUUCAGGUGCCGGGAUGGUUCGUGUAUCAACAAACGAUUACGCUGCAACUGCCGCCGAGACUGCCGCGAUGGCUCCGACGAGUGGCAAUGCAGACCACAUUGGCCAAGGCACCAUGGGCGGAACAGAUUUAUGGAGGCCGAUCCUAACCUAAGGGAGGAGGCACUGCUGUAAGCCGAAAGCAACCCACCCAUCAGGACACUUGACGGAGAGGCACUACUUGACCCGACGGAGGCAGUGUGUGGAGGCAGGCGGGGAGGCCUUGGGAAGAUGAUGAACUGCUCUGUAGUGCCGGUGUAGCGGACCACAAGCUACCCCGGAGGAUAAAUUCCCAAAGCAACACCAAUGGCUGACUCCUUAAGGCACAAAACUCUAAACAAGACAUAUCUGUGCGGCCUGCAGUGCUUAAGGUGUUCUCCAGGCUGUAUAACGCAGUCAGUCAGGCAAUCAGUCCUCAGUUCACUCAGCGUCAGGGUACAGUGUACUCACAAAGUGUAUACACUGUAACAUGAGUCUCUGCGGACUGGACGCGAUGGCCCAACGUUUUAUUCAUUUCUCGGCUGCGUGUUGCACAACACACUAAACUAGCUACAUCUUUGAGGUCUGUGGGGUUCAGGAGAUAUGAAAGUGGGAGCGGGCUAUUUUGUAUCUUAUUGAGCUGCCUCCUUUGCUAUGAAAUAAUCUUUAUCAACACCCGCCGUCUGCAGCUCUGGGGUGUGGUGGGCUGCGCAUGAGCAAGUUUUAGUGUUGGAACUUCUUGCCCGCCACACCGGUUGUAGUAUUUUGAGUGACCUAAGAAGGAUCAUGUUUGGGGGCCAGUCGUGUACUCCGUCCUGUAUUUAUUGGGGUAAUUGCAUGAUAUAAAACUGUCACAUGUCAAUAGAAUAACGAUUUUUCAAGCAAUGAACUGAGGGUUCCCUGCUUCCCUGGGUUUUCAAAUGAUUCUGUCCUCUUUCAGAACUUUAUAAUUUUUUACUAGACACUUUGCAGGAGCAGCGUCAGCUGGCUUUUUGUUACUUUUCUUCCCCCUGAGCUGCUUCCUUUCCUUAUAAAAAACAGAAAAGCAAGUGGCUGCUUGCGGCCCUUACACUUAAGCCGCCCCUUCUGUUUUGGCUUUAGUUCACACUUUCAUGAUAUGAUCCUGCCAUGCCAUUUAUCUGUAGCCUUGAUCAGUAUUAUCGUGGUUUUAUUUAAACAGCUGUUGGUGUAUUGUAAGUAAUAUCAAUAAAAACACAUUGCCUUGCACGACUACCUAACAAGCGAGUGUGACAACCUGGCUUCGAUGCUCCACAAGUGACGAGUGGACGGAAACACCAAAACAUGGCGACGUCACCGCUGCAGGAAUGUUUCUGGUCAUGUUUUGCUUCCUGAGAUCAAGGAGGAUAUUAAGUGUUUGAUAUAUUUGAUUACUGAUAUAUACAGCUUGGUUUUAUCUGAUAACACACACACACACACACACACACACACACACACACACACACACAUACACAUACACGCACACGCACACACACACACACACACACACACACACACACACACACACACACAUACACACAUUUAUGAUUUGCCAACAUUCCUUUAGAAUAAAUAUUUUAUUGUGUAUAACAUCGAAUUAAAAACUAAAAAUAAAACAUUUAUCUACGAA